rfam:Triticum aestivum genome assembly, contig: Triticum_aestivum_CS42_TGACv1_scaffold_640691_T_6BS-0.211008_1BL-0.180192
GAAAUAUUACCUCCAUCCUAAAAUUCUUAUCUUAGAUUUUUCUAGAUACAGAUGUAUCUAACAAUAGAACAUAAUUAGCUAUAUCCAUAUUUAGACAAAUCUAAAACAAGAAUUUUGGGACGGAGGAAAUAAGAG